AGUUAGAAAUGACUGCUAAUACCGCAUAAGCGCACGAUACCGCAUGGUAUUGUGUGAAAAACUACCGGUGGUAUGAGAUGGACCCGCGUCUGAUUAGCUGGUUGGUGAGGUAACGGCUCACCAAGGCGACGAUCAGUAGCCGGCUUGAGAGAGUGAACGGCCACAUUGGGACUGAGACACGGCCCAAACUCCUACGGGAGGCAGCAUG
rnacentral:rRNA from 1 species